UUUUUUUUUUUAAAUAAAAGGGCUACGAAGCAAUUUACGACAUAAAUACUGGAUUUCCGACCGUCGUCUUAUCUCAUGGCAACAGGACGCUGAUGUUGCUGCAGUGCGACAACUGGGACGACUUUACAAACCAACGAGCUUUUGAUCUGUUAUAACAGCUUCAUUUAGUAAGUUAUUUUGUUUAUGUUUAAACCAAAUGGUUGGUAAAUACUAUUUGAACCCGUCAACUAGGUAGUAAAUUCUACCACCGCUUUCGUUUAUAGUUAGCAGUCAAGCUAACUAAUGCAGGCUUUUGCUGCCUUCCCGGAUUAUCGGAAAAUUUGUGUUUGAGGAAGUCCCACAUUUUGACCUGCAUUUUACGGAGAAAAAGUGGUCGUUUCAGUCUUUGUCUUCUUUAGUUAGUAAUUACAUUUUAUUUAUAUACCACCUAUUUACUGAUACAUUUACAAAUUGUUUUACGCAGACAGCAUGUAUAUUGAACCAUGAUAGACAUUUGAAAAAAAUAAUACUAAUAUUUCAAAUCAAAUAAACAAUAUUGAGAAUAUUUCCCGACAUUACAAUAUAUAUUAAUUUAAAUUAAGUGGGCACUAAAACACCUGAGUUGCGUAAGAGUGUCUCCGAAUUUAGGUUCCCGGUGGUUCCCUGAAGGCAGCAAAUAAUCCCGUCCCUCAAUGUUAGCUAUUCUUGUAGUUAGCCGGUGGACCGCAGCAUCAGCACCAUUAUCAUCCACGCAAUGGCAGAAAGGAUUCAUCUCCUGCUUUGACUCUGCUAGAAGACGAGAUGAGUCGCUUCUGUUCGGACAACAAUAAUUUUCCCUAUGACAACAAUGUCCUAGUUUUGGACAUGGUGUUGGGGUCCCUGUGGGGAGUGCCUCAGCCCAUAAACUGGGAUAAUGUGGCCAAACUGGUACCAGGCUUCACUCCUAAGGAGGUAACUGCAGUGCUGUGCGCUCGCCGAUUUGAGGAGCUGAAGCCCACUGUCGGGUUUCCCCAUGUGGAUUAUCAGUGCAACGACCUAACAGAAGACAGCGGCUCACCAUCUGACAGCCUGUGUGCCCUGCUGGAGGCUGGAGAUCUGGUCAAGAGAGAUGGAAGCACUCAGAGCUGCAGCAAAGUUACAGCCUCCAAGUCACCAUCUGGAAGAGGUGGCACUGUGGAGAAGAAAGAGAAGCGAGUAUCAGUGGAAGAGGAUGAGAAACCUCAAAGGCCACGAGAUCUAAACAUGGUGAUCCAUGUGUGUGACGAGACAAAGAACCUGAAGCAGGAUUUCACCUGUCCUAGAGAUCUUCUGGUCAAAGAGAUGCGUUACUUUGCUGAGUAUCUGUCCGUGGACCAGCAGAGGUGGGAAGAGGUGGACAUCUCAGUUCACUGCGACGUGCAGAUCUUCGACUGGCUCAUGAACUACGUCAGGAGGAACUCGGCAGGAGAGGGGAACAAGGACAAACCCCGGCUGGAGCCCAGCAAUGUGAUCUCAAUCCUGAUCUCCUCCGAGUUCUUGAAGAUGGAUACGUUAGUGGAGGAGUGCAUCCAGUACUGCCACAAACACAUGAGCGCCAUUGUGGCCACUCCCUGCAACAUGAACUGCAUCAACAGCAACCUGGCCACACGGAUUGCUGAGCUCUUCAACCACAACGAGGCCGACGAUAUCCGGGACAAAAAAGAUAAAUUUAAGAGCAAACUGUUUCAGAAGAAAAUCGAGCAGCUGUUCGAUCCAAACCACCAGAACAAAGAUUCACCAGGAAACGCCUCGACUCUCUACAAGUGUGGUCUGUGCCUCAAGCUUCUGACCAAAGACACAGAGAGGAAGAUUUCCUGCAUUCCUGGGAAAAUCAACGUGGACGUUCAAGGACAGAUCAUCUAUACGCACACGAGACAGAAGAGCUGGGAUGUGCAUGAAUACAUCACAGCUUUAUAUGAGGAGCUCAAAUCCUGGGUCCUAGUUUACUGGAGAAUCUGGGGUACCAUCAACCACCUCACCUGCUCGCGGUGCCAGCAGGUGUUUGUCUGUGCGGAGCUGACCCACUGCAAAUACCACCCGGACAGCGUGCUGUACCCUGGCAUGGGUGCAGAGAAAGGCUGGCAUGGUGCAGGAAUUUACCUCUGCUGCAACCAGAGGGUGCUCCGCUUUGACCCCACCGGAAUACCAAAGGGUUGCAAGAUGCGGGAUCACAUUGUGAACGUACCAGAUGAAGAGAAGUGUGAUGAUGUGACUGCAGCCCGGAUCAGAGUCCUCAAUGAUCUGCUGCUGCACAGAGACGCAGUGUGUUUGUCUAAGACAUCCCCUGCAGAGAGCUCUGAGGAGAGUCUGUCCAGUGCAGAGAAAGUCCAAGACUGCAACGUUCUCCUAGAACCAACCCUCCUGGGACCUCUGAGAGGAGACGGAAACUCUUUUUCCUUUUUCAAGAACUGGACUCUUCAGCUGAAGCAGCAGUCUCUGCUGUCGGAGGAUGAGGAGUACACCACCGGGUCAGAGGUCACGGAAGACGAGGUCGGCGAUGAAGAGGAGCUGUCGAAGAAACAAGCUGCUAAGAAGGCCAAGAAGCUUCACAGACCUCUGAAGAAACAGUUGUCCUCUCCAAACUUCCAACGCAAAGAUAAAUCUGAGAAGUCACAGACCAGAGACAGCACACCUUUCACAGUGAGCCUCCAGAAGAAUAAGUGGGACAGCUCUCGCUCCCUGCGCUACAACCAGGACGCUCAGAGGGAAGAAGACCAGCGGCGCAUGGCGGAGAUUGUCGGCCACCUGACCAAGAUGAGGUUUGGAGACCAGGAACAGAGUAGAUCCAAGGAUACCAAAGAGUCUGCAGGAGGGAUCUAUGCUGGGCUGGAGGCGCAGUUUAAAGGCAGCGCUCAGACCAGGCAAACAGCAGACAAAGCACCCAGAUCCAAGACACGUUACGCUCAGGUCCGAACUACUUAAAGUUCCUGAAGGAAUAAAGAAACACUGAGCUGUUCGACAUGAACCCUGAAGAUGAGGAACUGUCUUUAGUUGAAGGAUGCUUGUUCUUCAGCUGCCCGCCUGGCCGUGGCUUCCAAGCCAGGUGUGGACUCCCUUUUCCUUCCUGUCUCUGUAUAUGGACCUCCAUCAACUGUGUUCUCUGUCGCUCAGCUCGCUGCGUGUUUGUGCAGCUGUGGCUGUUCCUUAAUAAACAAGACGCCCCCCCGGGUCCCGCUCUGUUCGUAUAGAACACCCACUGCUUCUUCAUGCACACAUCGGGACCUCACAGACAUCAGAAACUGUUGCUGGACCUUGAUCAUGUUGGUCGGGGCUGUAAAUUCUGUGCUUUCCUCUCAAGUCCUGCUGAAGCUCGGUUUGUCGGGACCUUAAAACCAACACCUGAUCGGAUGAGACAUGGCAGCAUAUAACCUUGGCAGGGGUUACUGGGUUCUAAGUGAUCAACUUUGCUCUACUUUUACCCAGAACAAGUCACCUUAGUCCCAACACUUGGCCAGUUGAUGGCAACAAUGUGACCAAAUGUUUUACUCCCUAGUGUGGCUGUUGCCACAGCGGUUCUGGUUGGUGGGGUGGCCAUGCAUACCCAGCUCUUCCUGUUAGGAUUGCUCACAGGGGUAUUAAUAACCCUGCUACACACCAGCACAUAAGGGGACAUGAAGAGGCAGUGUGGGCAGGGUCCCCCCCCCCCUUCGGGGGGUAAGUGGGUGGGGGCUAUUCCAGCUGUCCCUUCUUCUCCUCGACAGCAGAUGCCAAGAAUGGCCGAGGAUCUGUGGAUGUGGGUCAGGGGGUCCAGUUACAGGACUGAAUUAUGGUCCUUUGGAGAGGCCCGAUCGUAAGAACGUCAAAGUAAACCAGGAGCGAGAGGAGAAGAAGUGCAGAGCAAAAAUAAAAUCCCCAAGACAAACUCGAGCUGCUUUAUGAAUCCUGUCAUAGUCGAGGUAAAGUGGGGAUUCUUUGUUUAGGUUUGCUCCAUUACAAAGACAUAAGUAGACUUUUAAUUUUUGAUAGCUCCACUUUAAUGCAGAGAGACAAAAUAUUAAACAAAAAAACAUUUUGUAGAAAAACUAUUUUACAUCACAGUGAAAGAAAUCUUUGAUCGUUGAGCAAAACAUUACUUAAAGCUUGGAGGAACCUUGUUAGCAAGCAUAACGGCUCACCAGCAAGGAUUUGGACCCAAUCUUCUUCAGGUCUCUUGGGUGCUGCUCGGCGACUCAGCUUCAGCUCCCUCCACAGAUCUUCUGUAGGACCUUCAUUUGAUUUCCCUUUAGCCGCUCCAUUAUUGCGUUCCUUAUUGGGUUCGUCAUAAUCGAAUUGCUCCCUACAACUUACCUUCAGCGUUCUGGCCAAGAAAAGGUUCCAAAUUAUAAUGUUUCCACCACUUCCCUUAACUGUGGGUUUGUACUCCCAAUUCUGGUCUUAUCAGACAACAGAACUUUCUCCCAAACCUAAUCAUUUGGGUCAGGUGUGGCCAGCUCCAAUUCUCAAGAGCUGCUGUCCUGCAUGUUAUAGAUGCAUCCCUGCAGAGCAUUAUGUUCUGCAGAGACCUUCCUUGUAAUGAGCCUUUCAUUUGAUUUUGGUGUUUUUAUUUUUAACCAGCUGAACAUCUAAAACGCUGGAGUUGGCCACCUCUGGUUUAGAUGCACACCGCCCAACAUGACUCUCCUUUGUUGCCUUGUUGGUGUGUUGUGAGUCAUAACAACCCUGACCAACCCAAUCAGGACUCUGGACACUCCGUUAGUAGCAAAGCACCACCCUUCCCCCACUUAAUGCUGUGCACUGCUUGUCAGCAGGCUGAAUGAAGGCUGCUGCACUGGGUUAUUAUUCUAUAAGAAACUCAGGCUGGCCUGUGUCUACCUUUUGACCCAACUUCCAUUUCUGACUGAAGGAAAAAGGUUCACAUCCAAGAUUUUAUGGCACACGGCCCCAUUCAUUGACACCUUAAAUGUUCUGUACCCUUAGCAGAAAGAUAGUCCCAGAGCAUAAUGCAUCCAUCUUCAUGCUUGGCUGUGGGGAUGCUGUUCAUCAGGUCAUACUCAACAUUUCUCUUCCUCAUUAAUAGCAGACUGAGCCGUCAUCAAAAAGCUCGAUUCUGGUCUCUUCUGACCUUGACACUUUGUCCAAAGCUUUCUCUGAAACGUGGAGUUGUUCACUGUGUCUUCUGUAACAGAGGGCUGUUAGACCUCGUAGAUUACUGUGUAGUCUUUGUUGGUGACUGUGGUCCUACUGCCUUCAGACCAAUAACAAGCUCCUCUGAUGUAGGAUGGACGAAUAGAUGGAGAUACACUGCCUGGCCAUAAAAGAAAGUCACCACCUGGAUUUAACUAAGCAAGCCUCCCAUUGGAUAAUGACUGCCUGGGCGAUUAUGUUUCAGCUGGCAACAAGUUAUUUAACCCGAACCAUGUCGAAAAACACAUCCU